UCGAUUAUUGGGUUUACAGGAAAACGG
rnacentral:piRNA from 1 species